rnacentral:lncRNA from 9 species
AAAUAGAAGAAGAGGAAAAAAGUUAAAACACACUGCUUGUUCUGAUGCUGGAAUGCUGCUGAGCGUGACAUCGCUUUUGGAAUGGGACAAUUCUCCUUGCACAUUUAGUUUUCUUUCUGUUCUUCUAUUAAUUUAAGAAGCACAUGGAUCAGAUCCUGAGUGGGAACGAGGGAAACUGCAAAGAACAAGCCCACCGUGGUCCCUGCUUGCAUGGGGGCUCCGAGGGCAGUGGGGAGGCAAGUAAAUCCUGCAGAACCACAGUGGAGUUGGGAUUACAGAGGGAGCACAGCAUAAGGGGGUUUGUACACAGGGGCCCAAGCUAGAAGGGGUGGUAUCUGGGACUUGAUGCUUGUGCUGAGACCCUGAAGUGGGAGGAGUUGGCCAGGUGAAGAGCAGACAGGGGCCAGGGUGUUGGCAAGCAGAGGGAACAGCAUAUGCAAAGGCCUUGAGACUAGAAGAAACCUGGGAACCUUUUUUUUUUUUUGGGGGGGGUCUUUUUGCCUUUUCUAGGGCCGCUCCUGUGGCAUAUGGAGGUCCCCAGCCUAGGGGUCUAAUUGGAGCUGUAGCCACCGGCCUACGCCAGAGCCACAGCAGCGUGGGAUCUGAGCCACAUCCGCGAGCUACACCACAGCUCACGGCAACACUGGAUCCUUAACCUACUGAGCGAGGCCAGGGACCGAACCCUCAACCUCAUGGUUCCUAGUUGGACUCAUUAACCACUGUGCAACAACGGGAACUCCAAGCCUGGGAACUUUGAUCCCAGUCUGUGCCCCAGGUGUAAACUGGAAGAGGAGACCGUCUGUGGGAGCUCCUGGCUGUGAAAGGAGCCCUGUCGCCACCUAGCUGCUCAGCAGCAGGCACAGCACCCACCAUUGUUCAGGUUGUUAGAAGCCAAGUGAGAGUUUCUGUCUCUGAAACCAGACCUGACUGGUGUCUGUCGGGGGUUCCUGAGGGUGGCAUGGGGGAGGAGUACCGCACACUUGGGGCAGAGCUUGUUCUGCAUUUGGCAGUGCCCUCAGCCCUUUGUUUCUGCUGUACUUUUCAGCUCUUGCUACAUAGAUUUAGCUUAAUGUUGAGGGCAUAUUCUACUUCUUCUCUGCCGUAAGCAUGCCUCCUUUUUCUUUCUACCAGAACUCUGACCAAGUCCAGGGGACCCAGCCCUAGCCCCAUCUAUGUCAGAGAUUGGCACACUACCACCUAGGGUACUGCCACUCUUUAAAUAAAACUUUAUCGGCACACAGCCACACCCACUCGUGGAUGGCUUGUCCCUGAGUACUGUUGCAUUCAUGGCAGUUGAGUAGUGGUGACAGAGACUGCAUGGCUCAUGGAGCUGAAGCUUUUCUACUACUGGGUCCUUUACAGAAGCAGCUUGCCAACCCAGGUCUGCGUCCGUGGCUAUGGGCAUGUCCCCUCACCUCCCAUCUUCCGUUUCAGCUGGUGCAGGGACCUAGACUGUAGGGUGUCGGGUAAGGUACACAGCUUCUCCGAAUCUCAGUUCCUGAUCUGCAUGCAGUUUAUGUACAUUAUUUAACUUACCCUUCACAGCAGCCCAUGAGGUAGGUUCUGGCAUCAUCUUGACACUGAGGAAAAGGAGGAACAGAGAGGGCCAGUAUCCCACCCUUAAUCACACAGCUUGAACAUGGUGGAGCCAAGAUUGGAAUCCUUAACCUUAGAAUCCUGGAGGUGAGGGCUGGCGGGUGUGGGCAGGAGGAGGAUAGCUCUUCAGAUUCCUGUGGAUUGCUGAUCCUAAUGAACAUUCAUGUUUGGAGAGUGAGCUCCUCCACAACUGUGGUCCUGUCCCUUUUACCUGUAGCGUAGUGUAGGGUUGAGCAUGCAGGCUUGGAAUCCAGCUGUCUAGGUUGAAACUUCCGUUCUGCUUACAGAGCCUCAGUGCCCCCAUCUGUCUAAUGAGAAAGUAAGGUUCGUAACUCAUAGUUAAGUACUUGGUACACAGUAGGUGAUUAGUAAAACUAUCCGUUAGCAGAAGUUCCCUCAUGGUUCAGUGGGUUGAGGAUCUGGCAUUGUCACUGCUAUGGUGUGGGUUCAAUCCCUAGCCUGGGGAACCUCUGCGUGCGACUUCAAAACACAACAGAACUGUCCAUUAUCAUUUACUCAACACCAGCCUUUGCCAAAGGGAAAAAUAUAAACUUCAACUCAACCAUUUGGUGACUAAAUUAUUAAAAAAUAACUGAGAGGAGAAGUGAAAACCAUUGCAUGGGUUCUAAUGGGGAUAGACCCUUGACACGAGAAUCCCAGUUUGGUUCUGUUUAGUCUUGAUCAGAUAGGUGCCUUUGUUAUUUUGGAUGAGGAAAAUGAGGCUUGGAGAGGAACAUUCUCUAGCUAUGGUCCUAGUCAGUGAGUGGCAGGUGCGCACUCUCUCUGGAGCCCACAUGGGUGUGCAGCCUGCCGCCGUGGCCAGUCCCAGUCCCACCAGCCAGUGGCCAGCAAUGCAGAAUCCACAGUGAUUUUAAACCUUCUCUUCUAAUAAGUGGCAAGUCAGGACCACAAGGGGAGUUUAAACUGGGCCUGAAUCAGAGCCCCGAGCAGCCAGGUUUACAAUCUGAGGCCAGGGUUACUAGCUCAGACCUCAUUUUUUUGGCCUAUGAAUUUCUACUGAGUCAGUUAAAUACCAAAUGAAUCUAUUUCAGUGAAAAUGCUUAGAGGCAGGGAAUUUAAUUACUCAAUGAUUUUUUUCUUUUUUCUUUUUUACUAUUGAAAUUAAUUAAAAAGUAAUUUUGAAAACGUAUGGCUGACACUCUGCCAGGAACAUGUCAUGUGUAAAGUUAUCCCUCUCUACAUCAUAUAUUCAUAAAUCCUGGCUGGUCAUCUGUUUUCGUAAGACCAUUUGGAGUCCACCUUUAGGGACUUUUUUCCCAAGCAAAUUAAGAUUUGUAACUUUUCCUUGGGAAAGAAAAUCCUGAUGGGUAUAUAUACAAUGCAAGCACACAUAUACACAUACGUAGCACAUAUAUGUAUGAAUGUGUAUGCGUACUAUCUUGGCAUUGUUUUUAAGGUAGCAAGUAGUGAGUGAUCAAAAAUAGCUAGAUGUCAAAGGCAGUAAUAUUGGUUUAAAUACUGGCUUUUAAAUCAUAACGUCCAAUUGACCUCAGAACUGAUGUGAACUUUUGGGUCGUUUCUUUAAAAUGUUUUCCCAUUGACUGCAUAAGGUAUGUGUACGCAUGAAAAAGAUGCACCUCCGUUUCUUCAUCUGCCAAAUACAACCCCUGUUAAAUGUGAUGUAUUUCUUUCCAGUGUAUAUACAUUUUUUAUGUGCUCCUAGUUAGUACAUGUAAGUAGAAUUUUGUAUUCUAACACAACCUCUGUUAAAGGUGAUGUUUCUUUCCAGUGUAAGUAUAUUUUUAUAUAUUCCUGGUUAGUAAUGUAAGUACAGUUUUGGAUUUUGCUUUUUCACUUCAAAUUAUAUUAUAUAAAAGUUUCCCCAGGCAUUAUGCAGUCUUUAAAUUAUUUUUGGUGACUGCAUAGUAUUUCAUUCAUUGGAUACUGAGGCUAAUUAACCACACUCCUGUAUUUAAACUUUGAGGCUGUUUUUGACUUUUCGGUAUCACCAGUGAAACCCAGCCAUGAACAGCACUUGGUAAAAGUUUUGCUACUGAGCACCUGGUUAGCGCAGGCUCCACCUCUCACUGUCUAUCACACCAUCCUCUGUUUCCUUGGUGGCACACUCAUUAGCAGUAGCUUUUCUUGCCUGCUUAUCUGUACUCCCUCUAGAAGCAAAGUGUUGAGGAGCAGGUUCUCUUGUCGUGGCCCACUGGGAUGUCCUGGUGGCCUCAGUCAGAGUGGAUCACCUGUCUCAGGUAGGGCCUGGGCCAGAGGCCACUGCCUGGAUAGGAACCCGCCUCUGGGAGGUGUAGGGACAAUGCUCAAUUUUGUGUAGCUCCAAGACUGCUCUAAAAAAUAAAGGCUACUAAUUAAAAACAAAACAGAACUUUUCCAGUCUGUUCAGGAUCUUAAACAAAGGCUGCAGUACUAAGAGAAGAGCUUCUCUGAUAUUUGCCACAGACAGGCCCAGGGAAACUGGAUGAGUGUGUAAAAGGCUCACCCCCCUGAGAUGUCUUAGGGUGCAUGCAGUUUGCAGCUCCAGGGUGAGGAGUGGGAGCUAGCGGGUGUGCGGGGUUGCCACCUCUCCCUCUAAUGCGACUCUUCAAGGGUCCUCCCUCUUCUCCACACCCCAGUUCACAGAGUCCUGCCUUUACACAGCUCACCGGCCUUGACUCUGGCUUGUUUUGCCAUGUAGAUGAAAUGCUUUGCUCCAAAGGAAAAUUAUACAGUGUAAACAUUUAUUCAGAAAAAUGGUUUGCAGUGUUACCUCCCUGGAGUGCUUGGCCAAGAAUGAAAGCCUGGUACAAACGCCUGCCGGCGUGGACAGGAAGUGGAGCCUUCUGCUCAAUAUAUUUUCAGCUUUUAUGAGGCAGCUUUAGUGGAAACAUGUCAGCCUCUUGCCUGAAGCCCCAGGGUGCAGGCUGGACAGAGCCCUGCCCCCCAAGGCUGGUGGAUGCCUGGGUGUGGCGAAGGGUCGAGAGCGACAGUACCAGUGUUCGUGACUUUCAGCUCAGUUUCAAGGGGACACGUGAGAAGAAGGGGGGUGCAGUGGCCCCAGAAUGCUGAGGGUCCGAAGGGAAUGGACUUGUGUCCUGGCCGCUAGGACCACGAACUCUGAAGACGUCCCCAUUUGCAGACCCUGGUACAUGUUGCUCUGGCUCUGGCACUUCCUUUCUCUGCCUGAUUUUCUCCAAACACAACUGCAGAUCGAUUAUGUUCAAGUUCUAACCCUUGGUACCUGGAACAGUGACCUUAUUUGAAAAUAGGGUUUUUGCACAGAUCCAAUUAAGAGGAGGUCGUUAGGUGGGCCCGAAUCCAGUGGCUGGUGUCCCUGUAAGAAGCGGGAGGCUCAGAUACAGGGAGAGGCCAUGUGACCACGGAGGCAGAGAUUGGAGGGAUGUGUUUGCAGGCCAAGCAGUAGCAAGGACCUCUGGCAACACCAGAAGCUGAGAGGGACAUGGGACCGAUUUCCCCACAGGUGUCAUAGGGCUCUGCCAACAUCUUUAUGUUGAACUUCUGGCUUUCAAAACUGCGAGAGAAUGGAUAUUUGCAUCUGAAGCCAGUUUGUGCACUUGGAUAAUUUAUUACUGGUGUUUGGGGUCUGCCUCUUCACCCCAUCUCUAGGCAAACAGGCUUGUGUCCAUUGUGGUCAUUGCUGGUCCCCAUGUGCCGUGAACAUAUUAGACCCUUGAUAACUGUUUGUUGAGUAAGUGAACUCUGAGGACAGCUAGCACAACCUUUUGUGGGGUCAUCUAAGGGGUCCUCUUGGCUGGAUUUUGGGGGUUUUGAAGCAGUGUUGAGGGGAAAACUACCUUCUCUGCCCCCCUCAUCAGAAUCUCUGCACAACCAGAAUCUCUCACUCUUAAAAACAAACAAACAAACAAACAGAAAAAACGGAGUUCCCGUCAUGGCUCAGGGGAAACAAAUCUGACUAGGAACCAUGAGGUUGCGGGUUUGAUCCCUGGCCUCGCUCAGUGCGUUAAGGAUCUGACGUUGCUGUGACUGUGGUGUAGGCCAGCAGCUGUAGCUCUGAUUGGACCCCUAGCCUGGGAAUCUCCAUAUGCCACGGGUGUGGCCCUAAAAAGC